GACAGAGGGUGCAAACGUUGUUCGGAAUUACUGGGCGUAAAGCGUGUGUAGGCGGCUUUGUAAGUCGGAUGUGAAAGCCCCAGGCUCAACCCGGGAAGUGCACUCGAUACUGCGAAGCUUGAGUACUGGAGAGGUUGGUGGAAUUCUCGGUGUAGAGGUGAAAUUCGUAGAUAUCGAGAGGAACACCGGUGGCGAAGGCAGCCCCCUGGGCCAAUACUGACGCUCAUGCACGAAAGCGUGGGGAGCAAACAGG
rnacentral:rRNA from 1 species